rnacentral:lncRNA from 1 species
CUGCAAGCUAGUGGGCUAGCAAGAGGGUGGACAGAUCUCUAGGCAGGAAGCUGGGAUUUUCUUCCUGGACUGUUCUCCAAGGUCUCCAUUCUUACAACAGAGGGGAAGAUAUUCUGGGAGGAAAUAAGUGGAUGGCUAGGAAGAAAGAUCCAUUAUGUAGUAAGAACAAAUUCUGCUUUCCUCCUUGGGAGGUUUUGAGACAUUUCUGUUAAGAUGAUUAAUUAAGACUAAAUUCAUUAACAGUGCCAGACAUCGAGGGUUCCUUCAUCCUAUGGACGUGUGUUGAGAGCUUUUGAUGUGUCUGGUGCCAGGAGGGAGUCAGACCUGCAAGGUCUCUGCUUCCCUGGAGCUGGCACAUCGAGUGGGAAGACAGAUAAUGAAGCCAGGAAACAAAUGCACGUGUGACCUGGUGCCAGGGAGAGAGGCAUGACGUGCUAGGAAGAGAGUCACACCAGGGCAUGAGGCCAGUGGGGGCAGGGACAGGCCAGGGGCUGUGGGGCUGUGUUAAACAGGCGGUCAGGGCAGGUCUCUCUGAGGAGGAGACAUGUGGGUGCAGAUCUGGUGUGGAAGAUCAGAAGAAUUUCCCACAGAGCGGGUGGUGUGGAGUAUAGUUCCCGAGGCAGGAGCAGCAUGGGGUGUUUGAAGAAUGCAAAGGGGGCCGGUGCAGCUGGAGGGUUCCAUGGAAAUGAAAUGGGUGCAGAAAUGGAGAAGCAGGCACUAUGCGUCCCCCAGGAGUUCAAUCUAGCAGUUCAUUUGCUGACACCUCAUCCCCAGUGUGAUUGCACUUGGAGGUACAGCCUUGGGAAGUGAGUACCAGAGAGCUGCCUUGCCCCUUCUACCGUGCGUGCACACAGAGAGAAGAUGGCCCUUCAUGAAGAAUCAGGCUCUCAAUAGACACUGAACCUGCCGACACCUUGACCUUGGACUUCCAGCCUCCAGAACCGGAUUUCUCAGCCAAGCAUCAAUGAAUCUUGAAUCUCAGCUGAUGACACUCCUGGGCAAAAUGGCUAUGAAACUGGAAAGAUGUCUAUGAAACACACAGUCCCUCAAGCCAGAAAAUGCACUUGACACAUCUGUGUCCCUUGAGGAACCUGAAGUUUUGGUGAAUCCAGAAAGCCAUGGAUGGCAGAACUGACCACAGAAAAAGAAACAGAGGCUCAGAAAGGUGAAGCCAAUUGCCUGAAGCCACACAGAAUAUCAGCUGGAGUCAGGAUUCUAACACCAUCCCAUGUAGCUGAUGCUAUCUACUGCCAGCCUGGAGCCAGGCUAAGAGGAAGAGAAAGAAGAAAAUGCCUGCAGAAACAUUCUAUGUAAAGAACACUUUGGGAUCAGAAAAAGAAGCGCGCCCGUGUUUCACUUGCAGCCUCACCCUGCACUAGGUAACCCUCCUUCCUCCACUGCACAAUCACUUAGAAACUGUAACUCUUCUUGGGCCCAGGUGCACAGGUAAAUUCGGAUCUUUCCCAAGGCCCUGCAUGCUACCGUGAUUUUUAGGAACCCUAUGUCACCUCACAGAUCUGAGCAUAUAUGAGUUGGGCUCGUCACCCGGCCUUCUGGGAGUCUCAGUUUCCCUAUUUGUAAAAUGGACAUAGUAAACCCAUCUCCAUCUCACAGAGGAUAGUAAAAAGAGCCCUGGCCUUGGAGUCUGGGGGCUGGGCCACAGGUCAGGCUUCAAGACCCCCUGGGCCACGUUGGGGACUUGGGUUCCUGAGAUCCAAUCUCUGAGCAUCAGCUUCACUGUCUGUCGCAGAAGCACCAUUUCCCCACCUUGUCCACCUCACAGAACAGCCAGGUGGCUUAGAGGUGAGCUCUCAAAUGUCAACAGGCUUUGCAAACUCCAGUGGUCAGCAUUAUGUGAGUAGUUCAGUCUUUCCACAGGGAUCUCUGGGGCCUCGGGUCACAGCAGACCAGAACUUGACCUGGAGGCUGGUGUCCCCCAAACUGCUGUAUGGACCCUGCAACAGCUGGGGAGUCCUCGUCUCAACAGCCCUGCUGUCUCCCACUGAGGUCAUCUGCUGGCCCUCCUGGUGGCCCUGUGAGGAAGCCAGGAGUCACUGAUGCUGCUCUAUCGACGGCGACAGAUGGAUCACAGCUGAUAAGUGACUUGCCCAGAGUUUUGCAGCUUGGAACUCACAGAGCAGAAGCUGGGAAUCAGGUGGGGAAGCACCCAGCUCUCUGCUUCUCCUAAGCCAAGCUCUGCAGCGAGGUCCUGCUUCCCUCGGGACUCCUCUUUCAGCAUGACAUGAACUCAUUUUGAAUGUAAAGGCAAUGUCAAAGCCCUACAGCUAUUUAUACCAGAGCAUGUGUUUAUUAGCUCACUCUCCAGGGGGAAUAUUGCUGUUGUGAAUACACAACUACUCAUAACUACCGUCUUAAAAAUCUUCUCUACCCCAAAAUAUUUACUAAUGUAUUUAAGUAUUUAUUUUCUUGUAGUGAAAGGAAAUCAAGAUAAUUCUAAAAUUGUGGAAGAAAACAAAAAAAGUAUAAAGGAGAAAACAGAAGCUUCACAUAUUCUAACCAUUAUUAAUCUCAAAAUAUUUUAUUCCAGGUCCUUGUCUAUGGUCCAGGUCCUUGUCUAUGGUCCUAUAGCCUAUGCUGAGUGACACUGUGCUAUGUGUAUGCCAUUUGCACUCACCGUGGGGUCAUAAGCGUGCCAUUUCCUUUUUAUUAAAAAAAUACUUUGCAUACAUGAAAGUAUGUUUGCAUUAAAACUAUGCAAACAUCAGUUUUAAUAACUGUAUAAAUAUUCCAUCACAAGGACAUUCCAUAAUUUAUUUAAUCACUUUGGUAGUGUUGGACAUUUAAUUUUUUAAAAAGUCAAAUAAUGCCAGGAUUAAUGCCUGUUUAUAUGAACCAGUUUUCAUUUCCUGAUUAUUUUCUUCGGCCAGAUCCCCAAAAGUGGAAUUACUGAUAAAAGUAGGUGAGUGUUUUUAACACAUUUCUUCUUAUACACACACACACACACACACACACACACACACACCCAUCAACAAAUAGUUUUUCCUGGAAGGAACUUCCAGUAGUGUAUGAGAAAGCCUAUUGCACCACACCAUCCCCAGCAAUGAGAAUUACUACUGUAAAAAAAUCUUUGUUACAUUAAAUUUUUGGAGGACAUCUCAUUUUCUUGAUUGCAUUUGAUUAACUCAAAAUGUAUUUCUACAGGGUGGGGAACAUCACACACUGGGGCCUGUCGUGGGGUGGGGGGAUGGGGGAGGGAUAGCAUUAGGAGAAAUACCUAAUGUAAAUGACGAGUUAAUGGGUGCAGCAAAC